UCAUCAUCACCAUAUUCACGUUCUCCUUUCAUUGAAACACAUAAACCCCCCUCCCUAAAGAACCCUAAUCCCUAAUCGCCAUUUUUAAUUUGUACUUUCAUCUCACAACGUAAUCGUCGAAUUCCACAUCCACCGUCAACUAUUCCUCACAACCCCGAAGCACGUCCACACUCUGAUUCCACCACCUCAUCACAACCUGAACCGCCACCACCUUUCGAUUCCGCCACCAAUCUAUCAUUUCCCGAACCAGCGCCACCGUCCCAUUCCACCACACUAUCUGAACCACAUCCACCACCUCCGUUGUUCCAUUCCUCAGAUACUCAACUUGGAGUUCUGCUCCUUGCCAUGAAUUUUACCUCUAAGCUCUCAACGAUGGUUUCCACACUCGCAAAGUCCAGCACUUUUUGCAGCUCUGUUGUGCCUUGUGUGGUUCUGCUUCGUUGUGGUCGGUAUUUCGCAAUCAUAACGUCGCAAAUGUCACAGUCUGAAAGCAGUUGUAUCUUUGAUUUUGGAUGGAGAUAAGGUUAUUACUCUUACAAAUGGAGUUGGGUCUAUUUCUAAAAUCAUGUUCACUGAUAAUUCUGGAUGGAUAAGAAACAAAAGUUCAGUUUGGGAAAGCUAUGAAAAAUUGAGAGAUUAUAAAGGAAGGUAGAAGUCAGGCUUUAAUUAGGGUCAAAGAUGUCAUAGGAGAAUCUUACAAGAAACACUAUCCUCCAUACUUGAAGUUGAAGGAUGAUGUGUGGCGUUUGAAGAAAAUAGCUAAAAAUGAACCGUUCCACAAGCGACUCCAUGACAACGAAGUUCAUAAUGUUAAGGAUAUGUUGAGGUUACUCAUAACCAAUGAAUCUUCACUACGUGAGAAAUUUGAAAAAAUUCAGAAGAAGUGCUGGUUAGCGAUUGUUGAACAUGCCUGAUCGCGUGUUGUAGAUGAUUACAUGCUUUACAGCUAUGAGAUGAUUGGACAACCAGUACUGCUGCUGUCCAAUGUGAUCUAUGAACUUGUUGGUGUGACAUUUGGUGAACAAAAUGAUGGAUAGAUGAUUUUUUCCAUACCGGCUGUUUACAAAUGCAUUAUAACACCUUGUGAUUAUUAUUGUUAUUAAUUACCGUUGUAGAUGCGAUUUUCUCCGGAGAUUGACGAGGUAUCGUGCUCCUCCAUUUACUCUUGCGUUCUAGGUUUGCGGCAACGUGUGCAUUGGCAUGCAUCACAUUGCUCAUCGAUAUCGAUCUUGGUAAUUGUUAUAGAUCUUGAUUUCUAUAUUUCUAGAUUUAUAAUGAUAGAUAAGUUGCAAAUUUUCUUUUAUAUUAUCUCUGGUAGGUAACUCCACAUAUUCAACCGUUGUUAGAUUGGACUCAAUUCAAUGAUAUGUUGCAGGUAACAAUAAUACAAACAUUGAACUCAUUUGGACCUUUGAGUUAAAUUUUCUAUUCUAUGUUUCUUUACUGGAGGUACCCUCAAAGACGUCGCAUCGUAUCGGCUAAAACCUAUGGUUUUAGGUCUUGAAGCUUCCAAAAUCAAGCCAAAACCUUGGAAUAGAAAUGUCAUCUCAAGAAUCAAGUCUACACGUGAAUUUCGAUCACGUCAAGGUUGCUGUCACCGAGUUCGGUAGGGGAUUUAAUUACAGUUACUACCAGCCCCUGCACUUAGCGAUACUAAACGGAGAUUGGGAAUCUACAAAGGCUUUCAUUGAUAACGAUCCAACCGCACUGACAGCAAAGGUUACGAUACUUGGCAGGAAUACACUUUAUUUUGCAGCUGUAGGAGUUUUAUCAGAUUAUAGACUGAAAUACACAAGGGUCUUUGCAAACAUAUGCGACACUGGCAUUUCUGAAAAACAAAGGUUUUUCUCUUAGUUUUUUGUGAGAAUUGCGUAUGCAAACUGUAAUCUAAUUCGACCGUUAUUGGAAUUGUAAACUUCAUGGCAGUCCAUUUCAGUACUGUGAAAUGUUCAUGCCUUUAUCUUACAGGAAAGACAAACUGCACGAGAAGGUACCAAUGAACCAUGUGCUUUCCGGAUUUUAGUGUGAAUUUCUUUAUAAUUUACCAAUUGAAGUUGAAUCAGUUGUGUCUUA